rnacentral:tRNA from 1 species
CCUUCGAUAGCUCAGUUGGUAGAGCGGUGGACUGUAGACGUAUAAUCACUGUCAUCCAUAGGUCGCUGGUUCAAAUCCGGCUCGAAGGA